rnacentral:rRNA from 1 species
CCCUUAGAUGUUCUGGGCCACACGCGCGUUACACUGAUGAAGCCAGCGAGUAUAUCGCCUUCACCGGAAGGUGCGGGUAAUCUUGUGAAACUUCAUCGUGCUGGGGAUAGACCAUUGCAAUUAUUGGUCUUGAACGAGGAAUUCCUAGUAAGCAUGAGUCAUCAACUCGUGCUGAUUACGUCCCUGCCCUUUGUACACACCGCCCGUCGCUACUACCGAUUGAAUGGUUUAGUGAGAUCUCGGGAUUGGAGACGUUGCACCGCAAGGCACAUCGUCCUCGAGAACUUGAUCAAACUUGAUCAUUUAGAGGAAGUAAAAGUCGUAACA